rnacentral:rRNA from 1 species
UUAUGCCUAAUGAUUGGGUUUAAAGGGAGCGUAGGCGGACGCUUAAGUCAGUUGUGAAAGUUUGCGGCUCACCGUAAAAUUGCAGUUGAUACUGGGUGUCUUGAGUACAGUAGAGGCAGGCGGAAUUCGUGGUGUAGCGGUGAAAUGCUUAGAUAUCACGAAGAACUCCGAUUGCGAAGGCAGCUUGCUGGACUGUAACUGACGCUGAUGCUCGAAAGUGUGGGUAUCAAACAGGAUUAGAUACCCUGGUAGUCCACACAGUAAACGAUGAAUACUCGCUGUUUGCGAUAUACAGUAAGCGGCCAAGCGAAAGCGUUAAGUAUUCCACCUGGGGA